UGAUCCUGGCUCAGGACGAACGCUGGCGGCGUGCCUAAUACAUGCAAGUCGAGCGAGCAGAACCAGCAGAUUUACUUCGGUAAUGACGCUGGGGACGCGAGCGGCGGAUGGGUGAGUAACACGUGGGGAACCUGCCCCAUAGUCUAGGAUACCACUUGGAAACAGGUGCUAAUACCGGAUAAUAAAGCAGAUCGCAUGAUCAGCUUAUAAAAGGCGGCGUAAGCUGUCGCUAUGGGAUGGCCCCGCGGUGCAUUAGCUAGUUGGUAAGGUAACGGCUUACCAAGGCAAUGAUGCAUAGCCGAGUUGAGAGACUGAACGGCCACAUUGGGACUGAGACACGGCCCAAACUCCUACGGGAGGCAGCAGUAGGGAAUCUUCCACAAUGGACGCAAGUCUGAUGGAGCAACGCCGCGUGAGUGAAGAAGGUUUUCGGAUCGUAAAGCUCUGUUGUUGGUGAAGAAGGAUAGAGGUAGUAACUGGCCUUUAUUUGACGGUAAUCAACCAGAAAGUCACGGCUAACUACGUGCCAGCAGCCGCGGUAAUACGUAGGUGGCAAGCGUUGUCCGGAUUUAUUGGGCGUAAAGCGAGCGCAGGCGGAAGAAUAAGUCUGAUGUGAAAGCCCUCGGCUUAACCGAGGAAUUGCAUCGGAAACUGUUUUUCUUGAGUGCAGAAGAGGAGAGUGGAACUCCAUGUGUAGCGGUGGAAUGCGUAGAUAUAUGGAAGAACACCAGUGGCGAAGGCGGCUCUCUGGUCUGCAACUGACGCUGAGGCUCGAAAGCAUGGGUAGCGAACAGGAUUAGAUACCCUGGUAGUCCAUGCCGUAAACGAUGAGUGCUAAGUGUUGGGAGGUUUCCGCCUCUCAGUGCUGCAGCUAACGCAUUAAGCACUCCGCCUGGGGAGUACGACCGCAAGGUUGAAACUCAAAGGAAUUGACGGGGGCCCGCACAAGCGGUGGAGCAUGUGGUUUAAUUCGAAGCAACGCGAAGAACCUUACCAGGUCUUGACAUCUAGUGCCAUCCUAAGAGAUUAGGAGUUCCCUUCGGGGACGCUAAGACAGGUGGUGCAUGGCUGUCGUCAGCUCGUGUCGUGAGAUGUUGGGUUAAGUCCCGCAACGAGCGCAACCCUUAUUAUUAGUUGCCAGCAUUAAGUUGGGCACUCUAAUGAGACUGCCGGUGACAAACCGGAGGAAGGUGGGGAUGACGUCAAGUCAUCAUGCCCCUUAUGACCUGGGCUACACACGUGCUACAAUGGGCAGUACAACGAGAAGCGAGCCUGCGAAGGCAAGCGAAUCUCUGAAAGCUGUUCUCAGUUCGGACUGCAGUCUGCAACUCGACUGCACGAAGCUGGAAUCGCUAGUAAUCGCGGAUCAGAACGCCGCGGUGAAUACGUUCCCGGGCCUUGUACACACCGCCCGUCACACCAUGGAAGUCUGCAAUGCCCAAAGCCGGUGGCCUAACCUUCGGGAAGGAGCCGUCUAAGGCAGGGCAGAUGACUGGGGUGAAGUCGUAACAAGGUAGCCGUAGGAGAACCUGCGGCUGGAUCACCUCCUU
rnacentral:rRNA from 1 species